GGGCAUUCUUGCACCAGGACCAGGAUCGGUGGAAAUGGACAUAUGUUGAAGUCAUCAAGAUAACAGGUUCAUUGUGGUGAAGUUACAAUCAGGAUUCAAUCCGAAUUCAAAAUGCCUUAAAGCAGUGGUUCCCGAUGGAUGGGUUGCAGUCCAAAAGUGCAACCGUGUCAGGUCAUUGCUGAGUCCAGCCGGCG